AGUGAAAGGAAUAACUUAUAGAAUAAGAUUGGAAGCUGAAAGUUUGUUUCUAGGAAGACUAAGAAGUAAGACCUUUUAAAAAUCUCACCUUGUAAUAGCUAAAGUAUGAAUAAUAGGUUUUUACAUUAGUCUUUGAUAGUUCUGGUUACAACUGUGUUCUGUGGAAGUGAAAGGAGUAUCUUAGAGACUCUGAAGGCAGCAGUGAUAGUUACUCAAGCCCAUAUUUCCCACAGAAGACAAGGGGCAAAUCAAAUCACCAUUGGCAGGUGAAUUGCAUGAUGGAAGGUUCUGCAGCAGCUCUGUGCUGGACAGACCAAUAACAAUUCAGUUCCAGCAAUAUUUAGCUUUAGCAAAUGCUGUGCUGUCCAUGAACAAACUUAAUUAAAAGAAAGCUGAGUCCAGCUUACACAGCAGACACAGCACUCUGAUAGUUUGCACAGAGAGAAGAAAUCCUGGGCAUAUAUAAACUGUGAACUCUUUUAAAGUUCAUGGUUUUAAUUAGAGCAGUACUUAUAAAUAAUACUCCUCUGUGGAGCUGAUACAGGUGUUUGUGACAAAUAAUUUCCUACAAUACUUUUUGUUUUUUCUCUUCAUAGGUCAUGGAAUUUGGAAUUUGCUUGCUUGCAAUUUUUGGACAAAAUUUGGUAGAGCAAUUUUUAGCCUAUGCUUUGUUUAAGGAGUAACUGCAAGGAGUGUUUCAGUGAUGGCACAGUAAUGGUGGGUGCCCAAAUCACAUAUUUUCUGAUUAGAUGACUCCAGGAAAAGGACUUCAAAUGGAAUUCUUUUCUGGGGUCCUUAUAAAGUUCAGAAGUGCUUAAAUGUAAUUAUUUGAGUAACAAUAAAAUGCUUUUGAAAAUCAUUGGGAAAAUGCUUUUCUUCAGAAUAGCACUUAGGAGUGUUUUCUGUGUACAUGUUCAGAACCACUGUGUCUUUUCAGGAAGUGACUUAAUUAAGAGACUUUUGACAUGACUUAGUGACAAUCAAGCUUAUACAGAAAAUGGAUGCUGCAGGUUUCGUUUUAGCUAUAUUUAUAAUGUUUGAUGGAUUUGGCUUAAUUAUUACUCUAUAGUGGUUGCAUAAUUAUUCUGGGGCCAAAUCUGCUGUGACUCUUUGGAAAUACCAUAUUUAAUAUAUUUUGCACCAUCAUAGUGUAAACAUCAGGUAAGGCUGGGCACACAAGAAAGGUAAUUUAUGAAACAUGUAGUCAGCACUAAGUCUAAAAAGGCGCAGUGGCUACUGUGAAGUCGAUUUGUCAGGGUGUGAGAUUUAACAUCUCAGGAUGUUAAACCUUUGUGUAUUGAAGCCUUUGGAAGACCAUCAAACAACACAGAGAUUCUUUUGAAGGUACCUAAGACAAAAUAAGCUGCUUUGAGUAACCAAAUGUCCUCUGUUCUUGAGUAUUUUCCCUGUGAAACCAUCCGUUUAGACAGUCUUGCUUGAGGAGAUAGCUCAUGCUUCCGACAAUGCCUAAUGCAAAAAAAUUUAGAGUGGAAAAGGAAGCAGCCAGGCUCAGUAGAGAUA